UACGUAGGGACCAAGCGUUGUUCGGAUUUACUGGGCUUAAAGGGCGCGUAGGCGGCGCGGUAAGUCACUUGUGAAAUCUCUGAGCUUAACUCAGAACGGCCAAGUGAUACUGCAGUGCUAGAGUGUGGAAGGGGCAAUCGGAAUUCUUGGUGUAGCGGUGAAAUGCGUAGAUAUCAAGAGGAACACCUGAGGUGAAGACGGGUUGCUGGGCCAACACUGACGCUGAUGCGCGAAAGCCAGGGGAGCAAACGGG
rnacentral:rRNA from 1 species